rnacentral:lncRNA from 1 species
UCAUAGGGUCAAGCACAUCUAUCACCUCAAUAUACCUCGUUACAUAACAUACUGAAAUCUCUUACAUUACAUCAUAAUACAAUUGUCAUGUCCACAAUCUAACUAUUACAUCAACAUACUUCAAUAAACUCUGGCUAACCUUCUAGUCUACCCUGUACCUGCACAUCUGGGGUUAGGGGAGAGGGGUGAGCUAACAAGCCCAGUGAGCAGAAUAGUAGAAAAACAUAUAUUAAGAUUUCAUGCUUUCAUGGAAUGCAACACAUCACAACAAAUCACAUCUCGGAUGGUAUUGUCACCAAUAGUCCUCUACAUAGUCCAACUGUGCCGUGACGUAGAAUGGGUACAACCGGUCUUUCCCUUAACAUAACAUAUCAUACAGUCCAACUGUGCCAGGGACGUAGAAUGGGUACAACCUGGACUUUCUCUUACAUCGUGCCAGGGACGUAGAAUGGGUACAACCUGGACUUCCAUACCAUAUCAUGCCAUAACAUCAUCAUAUCAUAUGAGGACUAAAGGAUCAUCCAAUGACCAAUCCACAUCAACAUCAAUAUCAUAAAUGCAAUGCGACAUAUUCGUGAAUACUAAUGCAAACAACCUACUAUAUCUCAUGGCAUUCAUGAUGCAUGGAUCAUGCUCAAAAUUCAUAUUUCAUUUAUUUUAAAACUUAAGAUUUAUUCCACUCACCUCUGGCUAGCUCUGACAAACUCUGUAGCAGCUAUCUCACUGCUGAGGUCCUCGGUUCCUCGGGUCCGAACCUACACAGGUGGACUCCAAUGAGGGACCAAACAUACAUAAUCAUGACUCUAAUAUACUCCCCAAAAACCCCCUAAAACAUCAUGAAAUCAUCUCGUAAAAACAUGCAAGAAAUGGCUGAACAGGGCACUUU